UACAGAGGUCUCAAGCGUUGUUCGGAUUCAUUGGGCGUAAAGGGUGCGUAGGCGGCGUGGUAAGUCGGAUGUGAAAUCUCGGAGCUUAACUCCGAAACUGCAUUCGAUACUGCCGUGCUUGAGGACUGGAGAGGAGACUGGAAUUUACGGUGUAGCGGUGAAAUGCGUAGAUAUCGGGAGGAACACCGGUGGCGAAGGCGGCCCCCUGGUUGGAUACUGACGCUGAGACGCGAAAGCGUGGGGAGCAAACAGG
rnacentral:rRNA from 1 species